UAGAUGCGAGAGUAGAGCAUAUCAAUAAGCGGAGGAAAAGAAACUAACUAGGAUUCCCUUAGUAACGGCGAGUGAAGCGGGAAGAGCUCAAAUUUGAAAUCUUCAAGGUUUUACCUUGACGAAUUGUAGUUUAAAGAAGUGUUUUCUGUUGAAGUUUUGGUAAAAGUUCUUUGGAAUAGGACAUCAUAGAGGGUGAGAAUCCCGUAUUUGGACUCAUUCUUUCUAGCGUUGUGAUACACUUUCAAAGAGUCGGAUUGUUUGGGAAUGCAGUCCAAAAUGGGUGGUAAAUUUCAUCUAAAGCUAAAUAUUGGCGAGAGACCGAUAGCGAACAAGUACCGUGAGGGAAAGAUGAAAAGAACUUUGAAAAGAGAGUUAAACAGUACGUGAAAUUGUCAAAAGGGAAGCGUUUGACACCAGUGUUGUUUUUCCGAAAAUCAAUUACGAAUGUUUUAGUUUUUGAGGAGUUAUGACUUCAUCGGCUUGCUCCUUUCUUUAUGAAACUUUCUUAAUGCACUUUUCGGUUAACAAGUCAACAUCAAUUUCUUUUGUUGUAAAAGAGUAUAGGGAAGGUGGCUUUCUUUUCGGAGAAAGUGUUUAUAGCCCUGUACUUCUGCAAUCGGAGAGAUUGAGGUCUGCAGCGUAGAUCCUUCGGGGUUAGAUACACUUGUGCUAAGUUAUAGCUUUUCAUAGACAACUUGUUGAUUAUGUUAAGUCUUGUAGCUUACUCGCUUGUGCUAUUUUACCUACGCUUAGGAUGUUGACGAGACUGUCGAUCUCAUCUAUACAUGACUCUGUGCAUAUCAAUAAGCGGAGGAAAAGCAUAACAUGUAUACCUACGCUUAGGAUGUUGACGAGACUGUCGAUCUC
rnacentral:rRNA from 1 species